UGGCUCAGGACGAACGCUGGCGGCGUGCCUAACACAUGCAAGUCGAGCGGGAAAUUCCAAAAUGAGGCUUCGGCGGAUUUUCGGAAUGGAUAGCGGCGGACGGGUGAGUAACGUGUGAGUAACCUGCCUUUGAAAGGCGGCGUAAGCUGUCGCUAAGGGAUGGCCCCGCGGUGCAUUAGCUAGUUGGUAAGGUAACGGCUUACCAAGGCGACGAUGCAUAGCCGAGUUGAGAGACUGAUCGGCCACAUUGGGACUGAGACACGGCCCAGACUCCUACGGGAGGCAGCAGUGGGGAAUCUUCCGCAAUGGGCGAAAGCCUGACGGAGCAACGCCGCGUGAGUGAAGAAGGUCUUCGGAUCGUAAAGCUCUGUUGUCGGGGACGAAUGUUGAGGCCUAGAACAUAGGUUUCAAAUGACGGUACCUGACGAGGAAGCCACGGCUAACUACGUG
rnacentral:rRNA from 1 species